UGAAUCUUGAGUCUUGAAUCUUGAAAGUGAUGGCAAAUAUUCACGAGAAGAGUUUAUUCCAAUGGUAAAAAAGGUUUUAAAAAAAAACCCCACAAAGAAACAAAAAACCCCACCUCUGAUGCCAUGAUCACUAUGACGAGUAUGUUAGGAAGUUGGGGUCGGUGCGCAGCGGCAGCCAUGAUACAGCGCCCCCUGGAGCGGAGAGGGUUAAGAGCCUUGCUCAAGGGCCCAACAGUGGCAGCGCUGGGGCUUGGAACCUCCGACCUUCUGAUCAGUAACCCAGAGCCUUUAACCGUCAGUAUAAAGGCAAAUUAAAGUCCCAAAUUUCAAGCAAAUGUAGCAAUAAGUCUGAAAAAGUGAAGAAUAUAAAUCAGUUAGUCAUAAUGUUGCAGCCUUAAUACAAAUUCUUAAACAAAUUAGUCGGACGUAAUUUUCUCCUUCAAUAUUCAGUAUUUUAUAUAUGCUAUUUAAUAUUGUGUAAUUAAGCUAAAAUGAGUUAAUACCCUCUGAAAAUGUUUAUUUAUUUCCUUCUUAUUACAUUACGCUAGCCAUCUUUAUGUCAGUUGAAAUGCUAUGAUAUAAUGGCAGUACACCUUCUCUGACACAGUUUAUAUUUCCAAACAAACACUUACUUAACUUCGAUGUUAACUACUGUAUCUCACCAACACUUACAACUAGAAAUUACAGAAGCAAUGGAUCUGGUUAUUUUCUUCAUUUUCAGGCUUCCUUCUGGAGGUGUAAUUUCCAAUCAGCAUCCGUUAACACCGAGAGAAACAUCUCAUUAUCAUUGAAUUCAUUAUGUAGUCUCUACCACAUUUGCCAUCAGUGAAGACUUUAACGAUCAUGGGGAUUGGACUGCAGGGCUGCAACUAUGCAAAAAAAAAAAAAAAAAAAAAUGCUGGAUAGCUCUAAAAGCAGUUUACUUCCAAACAAAAAGAUUUUUUUCCGAACCUAUUUAUAGUGAUUUUAGGCCUCAAUGUAAAUAUUUUAAAACAAGCAGAUGUAAGGACGAUUUUAAGGAACAGAAUAAAUUAUUUAAAGGAUUCUGACAGAUGUGUCUUGGUAACCAUUACUACCUUUGAUACAUUUUCGUAUCCUGCAUAGUUUAUCAUUUAAAUGACAUUGUAUCAUUUUUUAAAAUAUUAUUUUUUUAAAAAUUCACCUGGAAUUUUGUUUCUCUGUGAUAAAUGCUUCCAUUUUUAAUCUGUAAUUUAUUUAUUAUUAUUUUUAAAAUCAGCACUAAUGCUAUAUUUUGAGGUGCUUAUACGCUGGGCCUUUUCAUUGUGCUGUGUUGUCUUGACUUGUGCAGUGACCACCUGAGCGUCCAUAAAAAAAAACGCUUUUGUGAUUUUACACUUGUGAUUUUACACUUGUGAUUCCCUUCUUUAUUGUUCUGUGGUGUGAGCCGUGGGUUUUUAAAGGUUUUGCCAGACUGUGUGUUAUACAGGCCGUUCCGUAUGCCGUUCCUCUGGUUUAUAAAUGUAUAAAAUUGUGAAUGUGUUCAAUACUAUAUUCAUUAACAGGCUUCCCAGGGCCUCCAUGAUGGAGGAGCCCACAGUGGUGCUAGAGUAAAUGAGUAAACAAUAAGAAAUGAAAUAUUUCAUCAAAGCCGUGACAAAAGCAGCGAGCUACACCGCAGGGCUUUGGGUGCUGUGAGUGUGUGGAUGAGGGUUGUGAGAUGGGGUUGUGGGAAAUGGGACCAGUGUCAUAACCAUAUGAAACAUAAUAAACUACUUUCACUGGU
ensembl:lncRNA